rnacentral:rRNA from 1 species
GAUGAACGCUGGCGGCGUGCCUAAUACAUGCAAGUCGAGCGAACAGACGAGGAGCUUGCUCCUCUGACGUUAGCGGCGGACGGGUGAGUAACACGUGGAUAACCUACCUAUAAGACUGGGAUAACUUCGGGAAACCGGAGCUAAUACCGGAUAAUAUAUUGAACCGCAUGGUUCAAUAGUGAAAGACGGUUUUGCUGUCACUUAUAGAUGGAUCCGCGCCGCAUUAGCUAGUUGGUAAGGUAACGGCUUACCAAGGCGACGAUGCGUAGCCGACCUGAGAGGGUGAUCGGCCACACUGGAACUGAGACAUGGUCCAGACUCCUACGGGAGGCAGCAGUAGGGAAUCUUCCGCAAUGGGCGAAAGCCUGACGGAGCAACGCCGCGUGAGUGAUGAAGGUCUUCGGAUCGUAAAACUCUGUUAUUAGGGAAGAACAAAUGUGUAAGUAACUAUGCACGUCUUGACGGUGCCUAAUCAGAAGGCCACGGCUAACUACGUG